UACGUAGGGUGCGCGCGUUAAUCGGAAUUACUGGGCGUAAAGCGUGCGCAGGCGGUUCGCCAAGUCAGGUGUGAAAUCCCCGGGCUUAACCUGGGAAUUGCGCUUGAAACUAGCGGGCUUGAGUGUGGCAGAGGGGGGUGGAAUUCCACGUGUAGCAGUGAAAUGCGUAGAGAUGUGGAGGAACACCGAUGGCGAAGGCAGCCCCCUGGGUCAACACUGACGCUCAUGCACGAAAGCGUGGGGAGCAAACAGG
rnacentral:rRNA from 1 species